rnacentral:rRNA from 1 species
UACGUAGGGUGCGAGCGUUAAUCGGAAUUACUGGGCGUAAAGCGCGUGUAGGUGGCAUGGUAAGUCUCGUGUGAAAGCCCUGGGCUCAACCCAGGAAGUGCAUCCAAAACUGCGCGGCUUGAGUACCGGAGGGGCUCAGAGAAUUCCCGGUGUAGCGGUGAAAUGCGUAGAUAUCGGGAGGAAUACCAGUGGCGAAGGCGCUGAGCUGGACGGUUACUGACGCUGAGGUGCGAAAGCGUGGGGAGCAAACAGG